rnacentral:rRNA from 1 species
GAUGAACGCUGGCGCGUGCGUAACACAUGCAAGUUGAACGACGGUGCCAUGAAUGGUAACACGGAGUGGUAUACGGAGUAGCGGACGGGUGAGUAAAGCAUGAGAAUCUGUCCUGUCGAGGGGGAUAACGUUCGGAAACGGACCCUAAUACCCCAUAGUCCGAGAGGUUAAAGGCAGCGAUGCGCGGCAGGAGGAGCUCGUGUCCUAUCAGCUAGUUGGUGAGGUAACGGCUCACCAAGGCUUCGACGGUACCGGCCUGAGAGGGUGACCGGCCACACUGGAACUGAGAAACGGUCCAGACUCCACGGGAGGCAGCAGUGGGGAAUAUUGGGCAUGGGAGGAAUCCUGACCCGGACCGCGUGAACGAAGACGGCCUCGGUUGUAAAGUCUUUUGUGGGAAGAAGGAAGUGACGGUACCACAUGA